GAUGAACGCUGGCGGCGUGCCUAAUACAUGCAAGUCGAGCGAACAGACGAGGAGCUUGCUCCUCUGACGUUAGCGGCGGACGGGUGAGUAACACGUGGAUAACCUACCUAUAAGACUGGGAUAACUUCGGGAAACCGGAGCUAAUACCGGAUAAUAUAUUGAACCGCAUGGUUCAAUAGUGAAAGACGGUUUUGCUGUCACUUAUAGAUGGAUCCGCGCCGCAUUAGCUAGUUGGUAAGGUAACGGCUUAUCAAGGCAACGAUGCGUAGCCGAGCUGAGAGGGUGAUCGGCCACACGGGAACUGAGACACGGUCCAGACUCCUACGGGAGGCAGCAGUAGGGAAUCUGCCGCAAUGGGCGAAAGCCUGACGGAGCAACGCCGCGUGAGUGAUGAAGGUCUUCGGAUCGUAAAACUCUGUUAUUAGGGAAGAACAAAUGUGUAAGUAACUAUGCACGUCUUGACGGUACCUAAUCAGAAAGCCACGGCUAACUACGUG
rnacentral:rRNA from 1 species